CCCGCGCCGCGCCCGGGCUUCCGGAGCGACACCGCCGAGCCCCCGAGCCCGGGCUGGCCUGCGGGGCGCACCCAAACAGAAAACCCCGGAGUUCGGCUUCUGAUCACCGACACCCCGGCUGCAUGCCAGCCUCUGUCCGCGCAGGGAAACUUUUUGGUGCCUAUUUUGCCGUCGUGCUGCAGGGAGAAGGGAGCUUCCUGAUUUGGGACGUAAGUGGGGGGGAGAUACAUAAAUGCACUCCCUGGCAAAUAGAUCUGUCCCCCGUUCCCCCCGUGAACUUGUGGUUUUGUCCCCCCCCCCCACCCAGUGCUGGCAUUAGCCGCUUACACCUGGUGUGUGCACUGUCGCCUGCCUUUAUGGCAUUGAUGGUCUGGGAAAGAGCGCAGACGCUACUAGAAUGAGAAUUCCCGGGGAAGUUGCGCAGCCUCGCCUGCACGCUCAAGACCGCGGUGGGAGUUCAACGAAGUCAUGCUCCCCCGCCCCUCACCUUCCCUCUCUGUUCCUGGGGUGUUGGAACCUCGGCUGCCACACUCCGUCUACCCUCCUGAGCUCCACGCCCUUGCUUGUGACAAUCCAUGCACUUAAGGUUUCUUCAUCUGUACGUUUGGAAUAUUAACAGUACCUACCUCACAUGGCUGUUGUGAAGAUUACAUGGCUUAGCACAUGCAAAGCUCGUGUACAGUAAGCACUCACAUUUCCGACUUGGGUCUGAGGUAAUAAGCUGCUGGCACCGAGUUCUCAUCCCGACAAUACCACUCUUCCAGUAACUUGGUCUCCAGCUUCGCCUCUACGGCAGCAUCCAAAAUCAUUUCAAACUCUGACGCUUCAACUUCUCCAGGGAUUCGGAUGUUCCCAUAUUUUUCACCUAAUAGUCCCUGUGUAUCACCAAGAAAGUUCAGUUUAGUGUAUCACCAAGAAAGUCCAUUUCACUAUUCAUAUCAUAUGGCCA